CUGAGAUCAACAAAAGAACCGUACAUGUAAAACUACACGUCACCUUUACAACAGAGGCUCCUGAUGUAAAAAAAGAAGUGGACAGGAAUAGAGUCUUGCUGUAACCGGCCGCUGCUCACAACAUCGGCCUGGAGUCAACAUGCGAGAGGGGAAUUUGGCCACCGGCUUGAGAAGAGGGUUGUGUAAACUGCACUUUGCUGAGAGAGAGAGAGAGAGAGGAGAAAAGUAAUCUCCCUCUGUCCCUCUUACCCCACUGCUGCUCAGGAUCUCCUUUUAAUAUCAGCUCUGCCCCCGGAACGAAACAAACAAAUUAGCCGACGGGAAGGAACGAGUUUCAAUCUUCUGGUUCCUCCUCACCUGUGUGCGAGAUCCUCGGGGUGAGCAGCAGGACGAGCAUGUUGCCGCAGACAAAUGGGGUGAGGUGGCUGUUGACAGAGGUGGGAAAAGGAAAAUUACGUUUACUCAAGUGCGGCACUCGAGUCUCAAGUUUGAGGCUUUUAUUUUGUAUGUUGUUACUUUUUUUAUUUGUAUUGUAUUUCAGAGAUUUUGUUACAGUUACACCAAUGCAGAAACCUUGAAACCCAUAAAAUUAAGAUAAUAACGGGACUUUUCAUGCAGAUACAAGGGCGAUAGUUUGUUUGAUAAUGAUAUUUCAUUGCUGUUUCUAC